rnacentral:rRNA from 1 species
AACGAAUGCUGGCGGCAUGCCUAACACAUGCCAGUCGAACGAGACCUUCGGGUCUAGUGGCGCACGGGUGCGUAACGCGUGGGAACCUGCCCUUAGGUUCGGAAUAACUCCCCGAAAGGGGUGCUAAUACCGGAUAAUGUCUUCGGACCAAAGAUUUAUCGCCUUUGGAUGGGCCCGCGUUGGAUUAGCUAGUUGGUAGGGUAAAAGCCUACCAAGGCGACGAUCCAUAGCUGGUCUGAGAGGAUGAUCAGCCACACUGGGACUGAGACACGGCCCAGACUCCUACGGGAGGCAGCAGUGGGGAAUAUUGGACAAUGGGCGAAAGCCUGAUCCAGCAAUGCCGCGUGAGUGAUGAAGGCCUUAGGGUUGUAAAGCUCUUUUACCCGGGAUGAUAAUGACAGUACCGGGAGAAUAAGCUCCGGCUAACUCCGUG